rnacentral:rRNA from 1 species
GACGAACGCUGGCGGCGUGCCUAAUACAUGCAAGUCGAACGCACUCUCGUUUAGAUUGAAGGAGCUUGCUCCUGAUUGAUAAACAUUUGAGUGAGUGGCGGACGGGUGAGUAACACGUGGGUAACCUGCCCUAAAGUGGGGGAUAACAUUUGGAAACAGAUGCUAAUACCGCAUAAAACCUAAACACCGCAUGGUGUAGGGUUGAAAGAUGGUUUCGGCUAUCACUUUAGGAUGGACCCGCGGUGCAUUAGUUAGUUGGUGAGGUAAAGGCUCACCAAGACCGUGAUGCAUAGCCGACCUGAGAGGGUAAUCGGCCACACUGGGACUGAGACACGGCCCAGACUCCUACGGGAGGCAGCAGUAGGGAAUCUUCCACAAUGGACGAAAGUCUGAUGGAGCAACGCCGCGUGAGUGAAGAAGGUUUUCGGAUCGUAAAACUCUGUGUUGGAGAAGAAUGUA